rnacentral:misc_RNA from 1 species
AAGUCGUAACAAGGUCUCCGUUGGUGAACCAGCGGAGGGAUCAUUACCGAGUUUACAACUCCCAAACCCCUGUGAACAUACCUUGACGUUGCCUCGGCGGAUCAGCCCGCUCCCGGUAAAACGGGACGGCCCGCCAGAGGACCCAAACCCUACUGUUUUUAGUGUAUCUUCUGAGUAACAAAAACAAAUAAAUCAAAACUUUCAACAACGGAUCUCUUGGUUCUG